rnacentral:rRNA from 1 species
GCAGUCGCCGCGGGAACACGUAGGGUGCAAGCGUUAAUCGGAAUUACUGGGCGUAAAGCGUGCGCAGGCGGUUAUAUAAGACAGAUGUGAAAUCCCCGGGCUCAACCUGGGAACUGCAUUUGUGACUGUAUAGCUAGAGUACGGCAGAGGGGGAUGGAAUUCCGCGUGUAGCAGUGAAAUGCGUAGAUAUGCGGAGGAACACCGAUGGCGAAGGCAAUCCCCUGGGCCUGUACUGACGCUCAUGCACGAAAGCGUGGGGAGCAAACAGGAUUAGAUACCCGCGUAGUCCCUGUCUCUUAUAC